rnacentral:rRNA from 1 species
GUCCACGCCGUAAACGAUGUGCGCUAGACGUUGGAAGGCUUAGCCUUUCGGUGUCGCAGCUAACGCGAUAAGCGCACCGCCUGGGGAGUACGGCCGCAAGGUUAAAACUCAAAGGAAUUGACGGGGGCCCGCACAAGCGGUGGAGCAUGUGGUUCAAUUCGACGCAACGCGAAGAACCUUACCAGCUCUUGACAUGCCCGGUAUGGGGUCGAGAAAUCGGCUCCUUCAGUUCGGCUGGCCGGUGCACAGGUGCUGCAUGGCUGUCGU